CCUACGGGAGGCAUCAGUAGGGAAUUUUCGUCAAUGGGCGCAAGCCUGAACGAGCAAUGCCGCGUGAACGAGGAAGGUCUUCGGAUCGUAAAGUUCUGUUGAAGGGGAAAAAGAGCGGAGAGAGGAAAUGGUCUCCGAUUGAUAUUACCCUUCGAGGAAGUCACGGCUAACUACGUGCCAGCAGCCGCGGUAAUACGUAGGUGGCGAGCGUUAUCCGGAAUGAUUGGGCGUAAAGGGUGCGUAGGCGGCCUGCUAAGUCUGGAGUGAAAGGUACCGGCUCAACCGGUACAGGCUCUGGACACUGGCGGGCUAGAGAGCAGGAGAGGGCGGUGGAACUCCAUGUGUAGCGGUAAAAUGCGUAGAUAUAUGGAAGAACACCAGUGGCGAAGGCGGCCGCCUGGCCUGUGACUGACGCUGAGGCACGAAAGCGUGGGGAGCAAAUAGGAUUAGAUACCCCUGUAGUC
rnacentral:rRNA from 1 species